rnacentral:lncRNA from 1 species
AAGAAUGAGUCACUAUAUUUCAAUUUAGCAAAAUCUUGGCCAGGAUAAUCCAUCAGAUGGAUUUGAUAUUUUGAAAUACAAUAUGGACAACCUGAUCAGAGUUGAUAGUUGAACUCUGAGAUGUCCUAUGAUUAUUUUGGUCAAGGGAAUGAAUUAUAUGGAAACUAUAUCCGCAUGCAUUCUAAGGAUGUUGUUCUACACAUUCGACCUAUCC